CUUCUUCUAGCACACCCUGGUCCCAUUCCACAUAAAAACUCACAAAUCGUGAAAGAAAAGUUUCUGUAUUAACUCUGAAGUUAGGUUUCCUACAUUUCUGAAAUUACGCAGUGAGGUUAUACUCUUCUGACAAUAGGAAGAAAUAAGACACGACUUACGGAACUGUAGUCCAGAACAUCUGGAGGGCACCAGGUUGGCCAAGGCUGCCACAGACAAAUGUUCUCCUCCCCACCACCUAAGGACCAACUCAAACAAUGUUGCUGCCUAACCAAGGACUAAAUGACUCCUACCCACUUUGUUUUCCACAUACUGAAUGUGGGACCAAAAUUCCUGUGCUCCAACUUGUCGUCCUGCCAUAACCCACGCCUCGAAAAGUCUCCCACCCCCACAGAACUGAGUCAAAAUCUAAAAGGCCAGUGACCAAUCCAAGUGAUCUUCUUUCCACUAUGGACAACCCCUUCUUACCCAUUU